UACGGAAGGUCCAGGCGUUAUCCGGAUUUAUUGGGUUUAAAGGGAGCGUAGGCCGUUUGGUAAGCGUGUUGUGAAAUGUCGGGGCUCAACCUGGGCAUUGCAGCGCGAACUGCCAGACUUGAGUGCGCAGGAAGUAGGCGGAAUUCGUCGUGUAGCGGUGAAAUGCUUAGAUAUGAUGAAGAACUCCGAUUGCGAAGGCAGCCUGCUGUAGCGCAACUGACGCUGAAGCUCGAAAGCGUGGGUAUCGAACAGG
rnacentral:rRNA from 1 species